UCCACCUCUUCUGAGCUUUCUGAGCCUCGGCCUCCCCACUCAUGAACUGGGGACUAUGGUGGCAGCUAUUGCCUGAUUCUGUUGUGAACUUUAAAUGGGUUUUUGUUUGUCUUAAAGAUAUGGCUGAGAACCCAGGAGGUGGACUCUGAGGAGUCAAAUGUCCAGUGCCAUUAAAGUAGGUAUGGGAGAAAGCAAGAGGGUGGGGUUUCUGUCCUUGAAGACUGAAGAAGUCCAGAAGGAUCUGCAGUGCUGAGUCUUCAGUUGCGGAGUUGUAGCCCUGGAGUAUAAGCCUUUGGACUUGAGGCGAACACGAACCCAAGAAGCCCGCCUCACUGAGUCCUUCCUUGUUUCAGAGAUCAUGCUGAAACUUGAGGCGUGGUAUCGAAGAGAGCCAUAAAGUCAGAUAGGCAUCAGGCACUUGGACUUGGAUAAAACACACUUCUGGCAGCGAGCAGCGAACUUGCCCCCAAGCCAAAGGAGAUUACAAGCAGCUUUAUAAAUCGCAGGCUCCGGAAUGCUUCAGAAGUCUCUCACCGAGUGGGGAGUGGUAGCUGGACAGUAAUGGUACAGUAGGCAUAAUUGCCCACUUCACAAGCCCCAAAAUAACAUCACUGAUGUUUCUAUUUAGAGGGUUGGGUUAUGAUUUCCUUUUGGUGGAUUUAACACGGCUCGGGGUUAAUAAUGCUCUCAGUUCCCUAAUAUGAGGUUUCCCUCGGGCCUGAGGUUUCUCAGCUUCAGGUGAUCUUUCCCCGGAGAGUUCUGAGCCCGGAGAAGCACAGUGAUGCUGUAGGAAAGGGUCUGAAGUGAGCAAACCAGCAGUCUCCUCAGAAGGGCAGGGAUUUAGGUAAAAAGGAAAUAAACUAGUUUUUACUGUCCGACAAGAAAACACACAGGGACUUCAGAAGUACCCCAGUUUGCCUCAAAACACCAUGAAUCAAGGGUCAUUGGCCCUACUUGACGUGGGAUGUGACCCGAUGGCAAGCAUCCAGAGCAGGGACGUCGUAACAUUCUUCUUCCUACACUAUCAUUUCCCUUCAAGUAUAAUUUAAAAGAUGUAUGUACGGGUGUUAGGGAGGGGAAAUAUGGUGGGAGAGGAAAGUCUGGGAGACACGGAAACAGCAUUUCACACAGAGAGGAAAAGCAGAUUAAGUGACUGGAAAGAGUGACUUACCCAUCCAUUCAUUGGGCGAACGUUCGGUGCUUGUCAGAGUGACUUAUCCGUCUGCUCACUGGGCAGACCUAAUGGAACGUUUGUCACCUGUGGGGAAUUAUCUGCAAAAACUUCACAAUCGAAUAAUUAGAGCAAGUCUGUGAAUGUUGAGUUCACGGCUGGAGGGCAUUUGCUGAGAAAAUGGGAGACUGUGUAGGAUAGCUAUGCCUCAGAAGCUAAAGGCAAAGAAGGUAAAAUGCAGGGGAGGGGUGAGGGAGUGUCUAAGUACAGACGGUAUUGGCUGUUUUCCCGGCUGCUUUUGGACUGGAUCGCCUCUUAACUGUCUAAUUAAAGUCAGGGUCAGUCACACCUGUCAGGGGUGUUGGAGGAGGACCUGAUGCACCUGAGUUGAAAGGGUAGAGAACCACCCUUGCAGGGAGUGGGAGAAGAUAAAAAUUUGUGCUGCUCUAUUUUUUGACCGUUUUUUAGAUUUUAUGAGGCCAAGGAAUUAAUUACUAACGACAGUUCCUGACAGACAUUAAGUGCUUUUAUAAUGUUGCUUUUAAGGAAAACUUAUGAAAAAAAGAUUGAAGCAAAUUCAACAAAUUUUGGCAAGAGUACAUCUGCUCUUUCUUGGAGUCUAGAGUUUGCUAGAAUGGUUGCUCUUCUUUGCUUUUCUUGUACCCAUUAUAUACCCCUAGUUUUGCUAAGGCUCCUAUAAGAAUUUAGCAGGCUUACCAGUUUUACACAUUUAUCUCCAACACCAGAACAGUGGCAAGUCAAUAGUAGUAAUAAUAAUAAUAAUGAAAUACAAACCUGUCAGAAACGGAGUGAAUAGGGGCUGGAGAGAUGGCUCAGCGGUUAAGAAUGCACACUUCUCAGAGACGACCUGUGUUCAGUUUCCAGCACCUACAUUGGAUGCAUCACAACCUUUAGGGGAUCCAGCGCCCCCGCCUGGCCUCCUCCGGCACCUUCACUCAUUUACAACUCCCACAUAUACAUAAGUAAAAUCUUUAUAAAAUGAACCUUAAAAAACAAGUGGAAUGGAGCCGAGUUUAUUUGUAAGUGAUUCUGAGACGCCAUGGAUGACAACAUACGCCAACACCAGAUAUCACCUGAAGCCAACCGACCCUGCUAAGUAGCCUGCUGACCUGGAAGGUGAACCGCAGUUGGGGCCCAUCCCUUAAUCAUCGUCUGUAUGCUGGUCAGUUAGCACCUCUUUUACUUGAGUUGAAUUUUCCACUUAAUAAAAUGACACCUCCGAGGCAUGGAAUGUGUUUUGCACCAGUGUGCAGCACACACGGAAUACUGGGACCUGUUCUGAAUUAUAUACAUAAUCAACUUUGUAAAUCAUUGUGCUGAGCAACUCCACAAAGCCCUCUGGUUUUGCCUCCUGAGAAAUAAGCUCUAAGUUUGACUUCAAUCCUCCCCCCCAACCAAAAAAUGUCAUAAAAGGGGGUCAGGUAUGUAUUCCAUCUCAGACUGUACCUUCUUAACCUGCAUUCCCAGAAGCAUCUCCAGCGAGUGACUUCUUGAACUAAGUUGUUAAACUGUUCAUCAAUUCUGCCUUUAAAUUCCAAACAUUUUUCUCCUCAGCUGGAUUACCUUCUAAAGCCGCAGGUUCUGGAGCUCCCAAACGUAUCUGUAAUGAUAUCUGCUACUCACUCCACCCAAAGACCCAACAGUCUGGGGCAAAGGCUGAGUCUGCCUCUCUGUGAGCUUCUUUGACUUCCCCUAAGCACAGUGCUUGACAUCCAGGUCGGCUGAGUAGCUUAUGUAAACUAAACAGUAGAUGGCCAGUGAAACAGGGGUGCCUUGUAGUGUGAGUGUGGCUUGCACAAAAGGAACGAAGAGCCCUUAGUUCUCCAGGAACUUUUAAGAUGCUGGACCUAGGGAUUAGGGACGUCUGGAGUUUGAACCCUGAGCACAAUUAGUGGGUAAGAACAUGAAGAUAAGGGUUGUGGAAGAAAACAGUGAUGUUGGGGUUUCUAGCCAUCUCUCUUGUAAGAGUUUCAUCGAGAGGAUAGCUCAUUUUAUACCAGGCAUCUCCCAUCAUCUUUAUGGGUGAGAAAUCCGAUCUACAUUUGGAUCUCAUGCCUCACGCUCCAGGCAUAUUUAUGUAUCGCUUAUUCUUGUAUUCCUUCCUUCCUUUCCCUUCCGCUCACUGGUUGGCUUACUAAGGAGAUACCUGAGCACAAACUAUGCAGGGCUCAUUAAGACUUCAGGAACUGGAGAUAGCUUGUGAAACAUAGUAACCCCAAAUUAAAUGCUUACGUCUUCCGGGCAAUUGAGCCUGUCCACUGGCUGGUUUAGCAGGCACCAGAAUUUUGACGGAGGUGUUGCCUACCGAGCACUCUUUAGUGAUGAUAAUUUCAACAAAGGCCUUUCAGAUUUUCUGUAUUAAGUUACAGGGCGGUUUCUUUCCCUCACCAUCGUGAUCAAGUUCUUUCCCUCCGCACCUCCACCUCGCUGAGCUGUUACACCGAGUAACUGGCUGGGAACACAAAGUACAAGAGGUUGCUUUUAUGUCAAACUAAUCUUUAACAAUUUUUUUUUUUUGAGCAAGGAGAUGAAAGGCAAAGCAGAAAAUGACCUUUCCCCCAGCAUUUUCAGUUCUGUAUUAGAGAGACACAGGCAGAGAUUUUUUUUUUUUUUAAUUCAAACCUAAAUCAUUUCAGAUGAGUUUCCUAGGCACAAUAUUUGGAGAGGGUGCAUGGGGGCUGCCUCACGUCCCACUGGCUGAAUAUCACAACCAAAUAAACAACUGACAUAA